rnacentral:rRNA from 1 species
CGGACGGGUGAGUAACGCGUGAGAAUUUGCCUUUAGGAGGGGGACAACAGACAGAAAUGACUGCUAAUACCCCGUAUGCUUUCGAGUAAAAUGGAUUUUUCCGCCUAAAGAGAAGCUUGCGGCUGAUUAGCUUGUUGGUAAGGUAAUGGCUUACCAAGGCGACGAUCAGUAUCUGGUUUGAGAGGAUGAUCAGACACACUGGAACUGAGACACGGUCCAGACUCCUACGGGAGGCAGCAGUGGGGAAUUUUCCGCAAUGGGCGAAAGCCUGACGGAGCAAUCUCGCGUGAGGGAUGAAUGCCUAUGGGUUGUAAACCUCUUUUUUCAGGGAGGAAUAAGUGACGUGUACCUGAAGAAUAAGCAUCGGCUAACUCCGUGCCAGCAGCCGCGGUAAGACGGAGGAUGCAAGUGUUAUCCGGAAUCACUGGGCGUAAAGCGUCUGUAGGUGGUUUAAUAAGUCAACUGUUAAAUCUUGAAGCUCAACUUCAAAAUCGCAGUCGAAACUAUUAGACUUGAGUAUAGUAGGGGUAAAGGGAAUUUCCAGUGGAGCGGUGAAAUGCGUAGAGAUUGGAAAGAACACCGAUGGCGAAGGCACUUUACUGGGCUAUUACUGACACUCAGAGACGAAAGCUAGGGUAGCAAAUGGGAUUAGAUACCCCAGUAGUC